rnacentral:rRNA from 1 species
CACGUAGGGUGCGAGCGUUGUCCGGAAUUAUUGGGCGUAAAGAGCUCGUAGGCGGCCUGUCGCGUCGGUUGUGAAAGCCCGGGGCUUAACCCCGGGUCUGCAGUCGAUACGGGCAGGCUAGAGUUCGGUAGGGGAGAUCGGAAUUCCUGGUGUAGCGGUGAAAUGCGCAGAUAUCGGGAGGAACACCAGCGGCGAAGGCGGCACUCUGGGCUGGAACUGACGCUGAGGAGCGAAAGCGUGGGUAGCAAACGAG